CGGGUGAGUAACACGUGACUAACCUGCCUUCCAGUGGGGGAUAACCCCGGGAAACCGGGGCUAAUACCGCAUAACAUCGCGAGGUGAAAUUCCUUGUGAUCAAAGGAGCAAUUCGCUGGAAGAGGGGGUCGCGACUGAUUAGCUAGUUAGUGAGGUAACGGCUCACCAAGGCGAUGAUCAGUAGCCGGCCUGAGAGGGCGCACGGCCACACUGGAACUGAAACACGGUCCAGACUCCUACGGGAGGCAGCAGUGGGGAAUUUUGCGCAAUGGGGGAAACCCUGACGCAGCAACGCCGCGUGGAGGAUGAAGUCCCUUGGGACGUAAACUCCUUUCGAUCGGGACGAUUAUGACGGUACCGGAAGAAGAAGCCCCGGCUAACUUCGUGCCAGCAGCCGCGGUAAUACGAGGGGGGCGAGCGUUGUUCGGAAUUAUUGGGGCGUAAAGGGCGCGUAGCGGGGGGGUAAGUCACCUGGGAAACCUCUGGGCUUAACUCAAAGCCUGCAGGCGAAACUGCCGUGCUGGAGUGUGGGAGAGUGGAGUGGAAUUCCCGUGUAGCGUGAAAUGCGUAGAUAUCGGGAGGAC
rnacentral:rRNA from 1 species